UUUCCGUAGGUGAACCUGCGGAAGGAUCAUUAAAAAAUGUGGUACCAAUUAUUGGUACUAAUUAAUCAUCCUACCCUUUGUGAAUUUGUUUGUAACGAAUUUUUUUAAAUGGGUCUUUCCCUAAGUUGGAUUGUAGUAAAAUACAAAAAAGACUUAGGGGAAUGACUUUUUUAAAAGACUUUUUUUUAAAUUAAAACUUUUUGUAUUCAUUUGUCUAAAAUUUAUUUUUACAAUAUAAAAACAACUUUUGACAAUGGAUCUCUUGGUUCUCGCAACGAUGAAGAACGCAGCAAAAUGCGAUGAGUAGUGUGAAUUGCAGAAUACGUGAGUCAUCGAAUCUUCGAACGCAUAUUGCACUUUUUUAGUUUACUAAAAAAGUAUGUCUGUUUGAGUAUCAGUAAAAUAUUCUCACAAACAUAUAUUGUUUGUGGUAUGAGUGUUUUACAACGAUAAACAAGUUGUUUCACUUUAAAUUCUUUUUGUAGGUUUUUACCAAUUCAUAAAUUAAAAUUGGAUAAAAUUUUCCUUUAACGAGGAAUAACCUAAACAAUUUUAAAUUUUUGGUUUGUAAACAUCAUCAAAGGAAUCUAUAUACAUAAAUAACUUGAUCUCAAAUCAGAUAAGAGUACCCGCUGAACUUAAGCAUAUCAAUAAGCGGAGGAAAAGAAACUAACAAGGAUUCCCUUAGUAACGGCGAGUGAAGCGGGAAGAGCUCAAAUUUGAAAUCUUCAAGGUUUGACCUUGACGAAUUGUAGUUUAUAGAAGUGUUUUCUGUUGGAGUUUUGGUAAAAGUUCUUUGGAAUAGGACAUCAUAGAGGGUGAGAAUCCCGUAUUUGACCAUGACUUUCCAGCUGUGUGAUACACUUUCAAAGAGUCGGAUUGUUUGGGAAUGCAGUCCAAAAUGGGUGGUAAAUUCAUCUAAAGCUAAAUAUUGGCGAGAGACCGAUAGCGAACAAGUACCGUGAGGGAAAGAUGAAAAGAACUUUGAAAAGAGAGUUAAACAGUACGUGAAAUUGUCAAAAGGGAAGCGUUCGACACCAGUGUUGUUUUCUCGAAAAUCAAUUUAAUGAGUUCUUGUUUUUAAGUUAUUGUGACUUUAUCAGCGCAUUUCUUAUUUUACUUGACUCAUUGAAUGCACUUUUCGUUUAACAAGUCAACAUCAAUUUCUUUGGUGGUAAAAGUUUAAAGGAAGGUGGCUUGGACUUCGGUUCAAGUGUUUAUAGCCUUUUUUCUAUGCCAUCGGAGAGAUUGAGGUCUGCAGCGUAGAUCCUUCGGGUUAGAUACCUUUGUGCUAAGUUAUAGUUUUUUAUAGACAACUUGUUGACUAUAAUUAACCCUGUAAUUUACUCGCUUAGGCUAUUUUACCUACGCUUAGGAUGU
rnacentral:misc_RNA from 1 species